ACUGCAUCAACUAACGAGCAAAAUAACCAGCUAACAUCAUAAUGACAGGAUCAAAUUCACACAUAACACUAUUAACUUUAAAUGUAAAUGGACUAAAUGCUCCAAUUAAAAGACACAGACUGGCAAAUUGGAUAAAGAGUCAAGAACCAUCAGUGUGCUGUAUUCAGGAAACCCAUCUCAUGUGCAGAGACACACAUAGGCUCAAAAUAAAAGGAUGGAGGAAGACCUACCAAGCAAAUGGAAAACAAAAAAAGGCAGGGGUUGCAAUCCUAGUCUCUGAUAAAACAGACUUUAAACCAAGAGACAAACUUAGGCACAUUAAAUUUUUUAAAGAGUUUAUUUGAGCAAACAGCGAUUCAUAAAUCCGCCAGUGCCAGAUCACUAGCAAUUCAGGGCUCCACAGAGGUGCUGUGAAGGGAAAAUUGUAUAAGAUGUUCUGGCAAGCAAGACAGAGAAAAUAUUUGAUUAAAGUGGAAAGUCCCUAGUUAGAGGUUUCUGGCAGUUUCUGAUUGGUUAACCCUGUUUUGCUGUCCUAGGCUGUGACCCUUCACUUUGAGUUGGGUUUCACUUUGCUGAUGUAGGUACUCAAGGUUCUGGAGCUGUCUCAGGCUAAUGGCCUCCCAAUUAAUUUUUGUAAAACAACUUUCAGCAAAAUUCUUCAGAGGGAGGAUGGGUUCAAAAAUGCCCCAAGAUUCAUCUUGGCUACACACAGAGUGGUAACCAGUAUUUACCUCCUUACUCAGGGAUCAUCUCACUUGUCAUUUUGCAAGAGAAGAGGAAGAAAGAAUAACCUGCUACUCUUCUAAACUCUACUUGGAAAAUUGCAGGAAUUUUAUCAGCCAUCCGUGAGCACAAGAAGAUAUAAGCAAAAGCCACACAGAGAGAAGACCUGUUCUAGACUCUUAUCAGCCAAACACAAUGCCCAAGAAACAGCUAGAAGGUUUCAUUUAACCAGAGAAGAGCUCCUGCUUUGAAAUGUUUUCAAAGUUUCCAUGACAAAAUAUUCUUUCACAGUCUCUGCUUCAGUGAGCUGCUUUGUAUUUCUAGCGCAGCUAAGCAAUUAAAAGAAGAUGAAUAGAUGUAUUCCGGCAUGUGUGAUAACAAAUGGCAUACUUAAGGUGACAAGGUUUUCUGUGUUAACUGGCUUUGCAGUCACUUGCAAGUUUUUGAAAAAUACUCCCUUUUAUCGGAAGUUUUUCCCUUCUUAAUCUCAGCUUAAAGGCUAUUUUUUCUCAAAGCAAAUUGGAGGAGGACUUUUGAAGUCAUCUUUGAUGGGACAAAAUAUAUGUACAUAUUCUCUCUGUGCAAAGGAAUUGCUGCUUUUCUUAUGACAGCUUAAAAUUGAUAAAGUUUUAAGCAUCAAGACAUUCACCAUUACAAAAGAUGCUCAUGUGUCUAUGAAUGAUGAGACUUCCACAGGAAACCAAGGUGGUCCAUUUAAAUUGCUACUCUAUGGCUCCUGUUGGCAGUAAUGUUCAUGUAAACUGGAGAGGCUCUCCAAAGAUCUUGAACUCAGGACAUUUUUGGAUCUAGACUAUUCUUAGGGACAGGAAAUAAUGGGAAUUUAGAUACCAUUUUGAUUGCAAGUUGAUGGAAAGUUGGCAUGUAAGCCUUUUAAAUUUAAUCUUCAGUUCUCAUUAAGUCUGUUUUAUUUUCUCUUUUUUUUGUGUUUUUGUUUUGAAAAUUAACCUACCCUGGACUUCAGUUAGGAUCUCUCUAGUUAUAUGAACUUAUGUUUAUUAAAUCUGAUCAUUAGAAUCCUAGGAAAUACUACCCUCCUGCUUGGCUUACGUACUAUUUUGUAGCUUCAGAAAACAGGCCAUGUGGUGUAAGGUAAUAUAUAUCAACUUGGAGGAAAACAAACCUGGAUUCAGAUUCUGACUCUGCCACUUUUGACUCUGUGACCUUCAGCAAGUUACUUGACCUCAUUUAGCUGGCAGUUACAGAUGUAAAAAUGAGGACACGGGAUUGACCACAUUCUCUAAGGGUGGUAAUACGGCCCAGUGGUUAAAAACUUAUCUUUGUGAUCAGGUAGACCUGGAUUUGAUCAACCUCUUCCAUUUCAUAACUGUGAAAUCUUGAGAAUUUUAUUUAAUCUUUAUAGGCUUGCUUAUUAUCUCAAACAAAUUAAAUUUUAAAGUGAAAGUAACUACCUUAUAGGAUUGCUGUGCUGGUAAACUCGUAAGGUUGCUUAGAGGGUUGCUUUUAAUCCUUGGAGGAUUAAAAGUCAUAUGCAAGUGCCUGAUAAAGACCAGUUCAUAUUGGCUGAGAUCUCUUACCCUAAAAAUAUUAUGUACCAUUCUAAGGUCCUUGAUAAAGAUUCAAAUCAUAGAACAUUGAAUGGGUUUCAGAUUACCUAAUCUAAAUUUCUGAUUUUAUACAUAAAAAACACUCCAUGGAGAGACUAAGUGAAAUGCUCCAAAUCCCACGCCAAUAUCUCACACUUGAGUCUUUACUAUAACAGUAAGUAUACGUGGCACAUUCAACAAAUAUGCUGUUCAUUCCAAGAAAUUCCAUAUAGAGUAUUUCACCUCCAAAUCAGUGAACUCACCAAAACAUUCUUCUUGUAUGGGAACAAAGAGGUCCUUGUGAUCACAAUAUUCUCCUUCCUACCUAAAAUAGCAAACUUUCCAUGAGUAACCAAUGAAAUAGACAAAAAGAAGAGUUAAGACAUUUAGCAAGACAGAGUGCUUUGUCUAGUCUGAAUCCACCUCUGCCUUUCAGUAAGUGAAAAAAAAGUAUCCGCAGACCACUCAUCAGAGGUGUGGUGAAAUUUUUAUGUUGAAUGCUUACAUUUUGUAUUCCAAUUUUCAUCCCCUCCACAGAAAAUGUUUCCAAUCUUCUCUAUCCAUAAUUCUUUGAUGAAUUAUUUUCGUUGUACUUUCCUGGGAACAUUUUGUCCCUUGGUUCCAUUUUAGACACUUCACUUCAUUAGGCUAAACUAGUUUCCAAUUGGAGAAAAGAGAAAAUGUGAAAAUUCAACCAUAAAAACAAAUACAUAUUACAUAAUUUUUACCUGGUGAAGUUACCUUGCUGAGUGUUUUGGCUAACUGGUGCCUUUAGAUACAGUCAAUCUUACUAUCUGGUAUACCUUUUGAAGAGGUUAGAGCAUGUCCCAGCUCUUUAAAACUCUGAAGUGGGAACAUUAAAUGACAGAGUGCCUUCUAGUAUGGAUAUGGCCUGCAUGGCAAACACAUCUUGCUAUUUCACAGUUCCUUGCACAGUGUCUUUUAAAGAUAUCCCCUGUCUUCAUUCUCCUCACUUUCCACCCUCUCCUUCUACAGUGGAAAAGAACCUUAUGCAAAGGCAUAGAGAACAAAUACUGUAUUGGAUUUAUCUACAAAGCAUGUUGAGGCUGGAGCCGUAAUGUUUACCCAUAUUCUACAAUCUCCAUCUGAGUAAAUAAAGUGGCAUCGAGGGAUAGGCUGCUCUACAGAUAACGAGUUUUAAACUCAUUCACCCUGAGAAAUUUCAAUUGAUAUAGUUUGCCUAUUAAAUGGAUUUAAAAUUGUAUUGUCACUACACUGCUUUCUAUGGCGAUUUCUGCAGCUCCGUGGUUCCAUGCCUCAAUAGAUGGUUUGAUUGUAUAUAUCUGCUGCUUUCUUCCUAUGAUUCUGUUCAUAAUGGUCUGUAAUGUACGACCCUGCUAUCCAGUUAUAAAGCUGAACAUAACCCCUUCUGUGCUUUUAACUAAGGAACUUAUCUGUUUCUAGUGCUAUUUUCCAAGAGUAAAAGUGGAUAUCCUUUUUGCUGAGGACUUUUUCUCUCUCUCUCUUUCUUUCUUUCUCUCUCUCCCUCUCUUUCUUUUUUCCCUUCCUCCUUCCCUCCCUCCCUUCCAUUUUUUUCUUUGAUCUAUGUCUCUUUCUUCGACAAUGGGCUUGAUGAAUAUUUCUGCUGAAUUUUCGUGAAAAGAAGAUAAGUUAUCAAUGCAUUUUCUACUUGUUAAUGGCUUCAGUGGCCCAUCAUUUAUUAUCUGAGUGCUGUGUGCCCUGAAUAGAUGGUGGAGAAGAUGAGGCAGCCUUUUACUUGGCAAUCUGCCCCCCAACUGUCAGGGAAUAGCCUUGGAUCUUUUAUUGAAAUCAAGGACUGUCCUGUGCUUCAUGCUUCACUGGUUCCAGGAAUGAGUCUGGGAUUAUAUCCUGUCCCUCUGGAAACACAAUCAGCUACAUUUCCCUCAAAUGCCUAGGUUUCACUUUCAGGCUCAAUUAUCUAUAAAAAGAACUUCUACAGCAAAGAGAUUUCACCAUAGAGAAAUGAUAUUAAGUCAAAUGGAAUAUUUAAAAAACCAUAUUCCAAACUGUCUCUGAUAACGUAAUAUUAACUGAAGUCUGCAGUUGCAGAAUAAAAGUAAAACAAAAACAAACCUGAAUUCUGAUGCUUUCUCAAAGGAUAGAUUGUUAAACUGCCUUGCUCGAGUUAGCCCCAGCGUUCUCUCUACAAAAUCAUCCGUUUAACCACUCUCUCUGACUAAAAUUCUUAAAAAAUCAAUAUCAGCAUUAUCCAUUUAUUAAAUUUGAUGUUGACUCAAAAUGACGAGGUGUAGAACAUCAUUGAAUUUUAAACUGACCUUGACAUGUAGAAGAAAUGGGCAGCUAUAAACAGGGUGAACUGGCUUAAUGUAGAGAGAAGGUGAGAGAGAAAGACUAUGCAUGCAUAUACCAGCAGGGCAGAACAGCUGGUACAUACACAGUAGAAAACAGGUCAGGAGACAUAGGAGUCACUUCAUUCCAGAUUUGCCUUAAAUGUUACCUCCUUAGAGAAAGCUUCUCUUUGACUACCCUAUUAAAUAUAGAACCCUAAGUCACUCUCCAUCCCUUAACUCAGCUUUAUUUUUCACCAUAUAUAUAUAUAUAAUCAAAUAUAUUAAAAUACGUGUAUUUUUAAAAUGUGGUUAUUAUCUGAAUUUUUCCAUUAGAAUACAAGCUCAAUGAAGGCAAUAGCUUUGUUUAGUUCACUGCUGUAGCCUCCACACUUUGAGUAGCACCUGGCAUUACAUAAGCAUUUGUUGAAGCGAUUAACAAAAAACGAAUAUUAUAAAUUGAUUAUGUUUCCUUGCAGCUGGAUGGCUUAGCCUGAAGUAUGGAUUGCUAGUAAUUCCUCCAGUCACUCAACAUUUUUUAGGUUUUAUAUAAGAACUUUACUCUGGCACACAAUGGUGUAAUGUUAGAAACUUGGCACAGAUCUUGUAAACAUGGUCGAAAACUAGGUAUUCUUCAGCAUUUGCAUGAAUUUCCUAUGGGGUCUAUUACAUUUAGACAAAUUAAGGUGGAUUAUCUUAGGGAAAUAUUUCCUAUAUUUCCUCUUAGGGAGGAAAAUGUAGCACAAGUGUGAGGUUUAAUAGCACCUAUUGAACAUAUGCAGAAAUAUCUAAUAUUUAAUGACCGAUAAUGGCUAACAUUUCUAGAGUGACAGUGUUUUAACUAAUUUACAUUUAUUAGCUCUCUUAAUCCUCACAACAGCCACUUGAGGUAGAUCUUAUCAUUAGCCCCUGCUACAUAGUAAUGGAUUUGGCUGGACUUUCUCCCUGGUCCAUGGAAACAAAGAAGCCUCUAAAUCCUUAGAUACUUCCUGAGUGAUAGUGUCUUUGCUCUUCAUGGUGGGUCCUGAUAGAUUAUGCUAAUGAGAUGGCUCAUGGUGGGUCCCUAGAUAGUUUCAGGAUGAGGGCUGACUAUGCUGGAAAGACCGGCCAUGUGAUUAAAGGACUGACCCAUACGAUAUCAGUCCAACCUCUUGGGAGGGAAGGCAGGCUAAAGGCUGAGUUCAAUCACAUGGUCAAUGAUUCUGUCAAUCAUGCCUAUAUAAUUAUAUAUGCCUCAUUAUAUAAUGAAACCCCAAUAAAAUCUGUGGACACUGAAGCUUGAGUGGGUCUGGCAUGUCGUGACCCCACAAGGAGAAGUCAUGGAAGCUUUGCACAGAGAUCCUCCCAGACCUUGCUCUGUGUGUCUUUUCUUUUUGCUGAUUCUAUUAUAAUAAAACUGUGAGAGUAUAGCACAUACCUGAGUUCUGGGAGUUGUUCCAGCAAAUUAUCAAACCUGGAGAGGUAGUGAAAGCCUCCAAACUUGAGGCCAUUUGGUCAGAAGUGCAGGUGGCCUGGGAAUCCCUGAGUUUGUGGCUAGUGUUUGAAGUGAGGCCAGUCUUGUGGAGGUCUGAGCCCUUGUUCUGUGAAAUUUUACCUAACUCCACGUAAUUAGUGUCAGAAUUGCAUUGUAGCCCCACUUUCCAGAUGAAGAAACAGAGGCAUGCAGAGGUCAAAUAAUUUGCCCAAAGUCUCACAGCUAGUAAAGUGGCAGCAUCAGUAAUCAAAUCCAGGAUAUUGUAGGGGAGAAAAAAAUAUUUUUCUCUCUACUCUUCAAAGUUCUUGGACCCUUGUAAGCUGGGGCCCCUAUAACAAAAGACCUAUUAACAAGAGAAAAACAAACAGCCAUUUAUUAACAUGUGUGCUUCCUAUAUACCUGGGAUAAAAUUCAAGGAAAGAGUAACUCUGAGGUGGCUUGGAAUUCAGGCUUAAAUAUCAUCAUCAGCUAAAGAAAAAAUAAAAAGGAUGUAGGGAAGGCCAGUUAUGGGAAGGUAGCCAGAAAAUGUGUAUCAGCAAGAAUGAGGUUUGGUCCUGUGAUUUAGUCAUUUUUUUUCUUCCUGGAAAGAAGAGAGGAGAUCAGAGUGGAAGGUCAUCCUUGAAAAUGGAGAUUUAUUUUACAAAUGUAAAUUUACAUUACAAAAGGGUAAUUUCUAGUGUUUUCAGACCUUUUCCUGUGUCUGCUGUUUCUCAAAAUCAUCAGCUCGAAAUAAUCCUUAAGCAAAAGUGUCGUAUUUUUAGGGUGGCAUAUCUGUUGCCUGUAGUCUGCCUGCAAAAGUUUUCUGCUCUUAAUCAUUAGGCAGUUCUCUGUCUCAAUUGAAGAGCUCAUUUCAGUUUUCAACAGAUGUAGAAUUAUAAUGAAUCAGUUAGAAUUCAUUAAGCUACUCACACCUUGAUUUUGAACUUCUGCCCUUCAGAACUGUGAGAGAACACAUUUCUAUUGUUUUAAGCCACACAGGUUGUGGUAAUUUGUUACAACAGCCCUGGGAAACUAAUACAGUAUCUUAAGUUUAAUAUGACUAAAACAGAACUCUUGCUCUGCCCCCACCCAAAACCCACAUCCCCACAGUCUUAGUUUCUCAGUAGGUGGUAAUUUUAUCCUUCCAGUUGCUAAAACGAAAAUUUGAGGAGUCAUUCUUGAUCCUCUUUUCCUUAUCUCCCACAUCUAAUGUUUUACAGACCUGUUGCUUUUAUCUUCAAAACAGAUCUGCCUUUUCCACCUCCAUUUAUUUGCAACUCCAUGAUUGCUACCUUGCUCACAGCCACCAUCAUCUCUGGCCUGGACUACAGUAAUACCUUUCUUACUGAUCUGUCUCCUUAAGCUCUUGCCCCAUUAUGCCUAAAAUAAAAUCCAAACUUCUUACCCUGGCUUGCAAAACACUGCAUACAGGGGUUCUUUUUGUUUCUCAAAUAGAACAGCUCAUUCUCAUUCUCACCUUGGGCCUUUGCUCUAGUUGUUCCCUCUGCCUGGAAUGCACUUCCCUUUCAAGAUGCAACCAGUUUCUUGUUAAUUAUAUCUGAACUUCAGUGUUACCUUCCUUUGGACACCCUUUUCUGAUCAGCUGGUUUAACCAGCCUUCCUAGUAGUUACUCUCUGCUACAAUAGCCUAUUAACAUUCUUUGCACUGUACUCGUCGUUACCUAACAUUUUUCUUCAUUUGUUCACCUAUGCUCACUAGAAUGCAAGCUCUGUGAGAAUAGAGAACGUACUUACCUGGUUCACCACCACUUUGCCAAUGCCUGAGCAGUCAUUGGCAUAUAAGAGGAACUCAUAAAUAUUUGUUAAAUGAAUAACUCCCAUCCUCCCCAUCCCUCACAACUAUAUGUGAAGAAAUGAUGACACAGGUUUUCAAGCAUAGGUUCUGAAGUUUUGGGUGAAUCAGCUAGAGAAGAGUGAACAAUAACCUAACAGGCUCCCUUUUUUUGAUAAGAGUCUUUUAUACAUUUUGGCUUUUCUUUUGGGUUUGUCAAGUUCUCCCUUCUAUUGACAUAUACUGAACCCCCCCAACUGGGAUGAUUACAUAUCAAGAAAAAAAUACAUACUUCUUUCUCAAAAACGUGUAUGGCACCUCUAACAUUGUUAGUACUUGUGUGUGUGGGGAGGUUACUUAUAAAAAGUAAAUGAAUAAAUGUGCUCUUAAUUAGCACCCCCAAGCAAUUAAAACUGAUUGAAGCAUGACUAAUUUAAUCAUUCUAAAUCACCUACACAGUGAAAAUAAUUUUUACAGUUCACUUAAAUUCAGAAAUUUUAGAAACUUUGAUUGUUAUUAGAAAAUAAUAAAAACAAAUCAAUACAUUUCUGAUAAAGGACUACUUUCUAAAGAAGCACUUAACGAUUGUCUUAACCCUCUCUCUUUAAAAUAUGAAUUUCAAUUCAAUAUCUGUUUAACUCAUACUUUUAGAAGUCAAAUUUUAGAUUGAUAUGAAAAUGCUUGAUAAAUUCAUACAAUAUUCGAAUACAGGUAAUAUUCUAACACCAAACUGCCUGUUUUGUAUAGUCUGCGAGCUAAGAGUGUUUUCUACAUUCUUAAAUGUUUGAAACAAAAUUCAAAGAAAGAAUAUUUUGAGACACGUGAAAAUUAAAUGAAAUUAAAAUUAAAGUUAAUUAAAAUGAAAUGAAAUUAAGAUUAAAUUAAAUUUCAGUGUUUAUAAGUAAAGUGUUAUUGAAACAGUCAUGUUUAUUUACUUAUAUAUUGUCUAUGGCUGCUUUCUCAUUACAAUCACAGGGUUAAGUAGUGGUGACAGAGACCAUAUAGCCCACAAAGCUUAGAUAUUUGUUAUUGGGCUAUUCGUAAAAAAUUAGCUGACCCUUGUCCUAAGAUAGAAAAACCUUUGAAUAAUAUUCUUAUUGCUCUGUUUAUCUUAAUCAUCUAAUUAAAAGACAACAAUGUGGUAUUUUAAAAUUCAAACCAGUAUUUUCUUGUAUCUAAGAACUGGUGCCAUUCAGAGUAAGAACAGCAAAACAAACAGAGCUACAUAUACUUGUUAUACAUCAAAUAUUACAGCAUAUAACUAUAGAACCUAUUAGUUAAAAUGGUCUUUCCUAGACUACGUGGAAAUAGGAGACUGUCUUUGUUAAGGCAUCUAUUUAUAUUCAGAUGCGGUGCUGUGACACAAAGAAGAAUGAGGAAGUCCUUACUCUCUAGGAGUUCGUGAUCAAGCAGAAGUUCACAUUCUUAUUUAAUUCCCAUGCAACUUAAUGAGACACAUCACUAUUUUAGAAGUGAGGCAACAGAAAUGCAGAUAUUUGCUUAACAGAAAUGCAGAAAUUUGUUUAAGACACCCUGAAAAUAUUUGAAAUUCUUGUGUUUAUUUUUCUGGAUUCAAGUUAACAUAGUAGUAAAAUAUAGAGCUACACUUUUACAAAUGGUAUAGAAAGAAGGAAGAACCUAAGGACAGUCCACACCUGGCCAGUCCCUGUCAGAAUGGAUUCCUGGGCAUGUUGUUUGUUUCAACAUCUGAUAGAUUCCUAUGUAUAUUCCAGGUUUAACGUGGUUAAGGGCUAAGCACAGGAGGCAGGGAAUGGGAGGGCAGUAGACUGCCUGUUUUCUAAAGAAGUGUGUCCUUUAGAAAAUAUAUUUCAAUGGAUCGCAGACACCAUACCAACUUUCCACUUUAAAAAAAAUCUCAAAAUAGACUCUGUGCAGCCCUGGAAAGUGUAACAACAUAAGGGAAACAGCUGGGGGGCUGAGAGAAGCUCUGAAGUCUGACCUAUCUCAGAUAUGGAUGUGAUGACCUACUUUCAUUCCAGGUAGAGAAUAAAUUCAGAUAACCGUAUAUGCUGCCGUCCUGUGGAGCUCACAUAUGGCCUUACAGUAAAUGGGCAUGCUGCUGGAGCUCAGAGCAACCAUGUUUAUAUUAUAGAUGCACUGAUAGUCAUCUCUGUGGUCCCAACUGGAAAGGCAAUUCAGAAGAAUAAAGGUUUACACUGUAGACUGUCAUUGUGAGAAGAAAAUGACUCCUCCCUCUGGCCUGAGCUAUUUUUGUAACUAGGAAAUUUAAGAGAAAAUGAACAAUAUAGUCAGAAGAGCAGAGAAGGAGGAGCAUAAACUCUUGCCCCACACCUCUGGGAACCAGCUGAUUCAGACCACUUUCCUCAUAACACGCAUGGACUUGCUUAUUUUGCUCAUUGAUUCAUUUAAACUUCAAUAUACACUUUUGUCCCCUAGGAUGGCAGAUCCCAAUUAGAACUGAAAUGACUUUCUCAAAUGAGAUUUCCCAGAAUCAUAUAAAAAAAAAUAUUACUGUUAACUAUAGUCAUCCACUAUAGUUAAGAAUAUUAUAUAGAUUUAAAUGGCUAGAGGUGAGGUUAUUGUAUGUUUUCAACACAGACAUGAUAAAUGUUUGAGAUGAUGGAUAUACUAAUUAUCCUGAUCUGAUCACUAAACAUUAUAUGUAUCAAAUCAUCACUAUGUACACUGUAAAUGUGUACAAUGAUUAUUUGUCAGUUGAAAAAUUAGAAAAAUAGCCCCCAGUAAAGUUCAAUCUCAAAGAAAAAGCAUAUCCAAGAGUAGUACAAUAAACACACAUAAACCUAAACCCUAUAUAUAAUUAUUAACAUUUUGUCACUUUUGUGCUUGUAUGCUCUCUCUCUGUUGCUAUUCAAUGUAAGAACAGCUCUCUUGGGAUAUGUGGAUACUAAUGGCUCUUAGCAGUCAGAAGAAAUCUUAAGUAUUACCUUCUCAUGUACAGUAGGAAAAAAAUAUAUAACAUAUAUGUAUAUUUUUGUUUUCCUGAACAAGCUGAGAAUUCGUUGCAGGUUUCCUGGUGCUUGCCUCUUCUGCCUGUGUUUGCUAGGAAAUGGACAUUCUUUGACAUAACCAAACAUCAAUAUCACACUCAAGAAAUCAACAUUAACACAACACUAGUAUCUAAUUUCUUGUCCAUAUUCAAAAUUUCACAAUUGUUCCAAAAAUGUCCUUUAUAGGUGUUUAAAAAAGUUUGAAAAAUUAAAAAAUUAAAAUUGCAUUGGCAUGUCAUGCCUCUAUGGGUCUUUAAUUUAGAACUUUUUUUUUGUCCUUUUGGCCUUUUGAAGAGUCAAGGUUGGUCAUUUGACAGAUGUCUAAUGAUUUUCUUAUUAUUCAGAUUAAACUUUUUUUGGCAGAAAACUACAGAAGUGAUGUUGUAUAUUGUCACCCUAGGGUAUCUAAUUAGGAGACGCAUUAGGUCAGUUUGUUCUUUUAUUGGUUAUGCUAAAUUUGAUCUUUUGAUUAAAGUGAGGUCCAUCAGAUUUCCCCACUAUCAAAUAUACCUUUCUUCAUUAAAAUUAAUAAGUAAUUGAAGGAGAAAUAAUUUCAGAUUGUGUUACUAUCCUGUUCUUCAACAGUCUUUCAUCUGUGCUUUUGGCAUCUAUUACUAAUUAUUAUCUCAAUCAAUUAUUACUAUGGUGGUUGCAAAUGGUGAUUUUUGAAUUCUAUUAUUCCUUCUUAAUUUAUUAGUUAGAAUUAUUUUGCAAAACAGAGCUUUUGCUUGUCCACUCCACUUAAAAUAUUAUUUAUUUAUCAUUGUUAAACAUAUAAACAUGACCACACACACAUAUAUAAUAUAUAUACACAUUUUAUAUUUGUAUGGAAUCAUGAAUUAAAAAAAUUCAUUUUGUUAUUAUUUGUUUCUGCCAUUCUUCAUUAUGAUACUUGAGUCAUAAUCUUUUAAAUUUAGAUCCACACUAACUUAUUCCUGCUGAUGGGAAUGUGGGAUCUGUGUGACUGAGUCUAGCCUGGAACAGAGCUUUCCUGGGACAUACUAACUAUGGCUCUUAAGAGGUGAAGAGAUCUUAACCAUUACCUUCUCAUGGACAGUAGGAAUUAUCUGCACAAUGUCUUAUAUCCAUUGGUGGGAAGAGUCUAUACUAUUCUAUUUGCUCUCGUCUCUGGAAUGCCUAUCUUCUUCCCAACAGAGAUGCCCUUAUGCUUCUGAUUCAUCACACAUCUUCUGCCAUCUGGUGGUAGGUUGCUAAGCAAACAAGAAGAGACCAGGCAAAGUCUUUACAAUAUUUGGAGAACACAGUAGGACCUGUGCUGUCCAGAAAACAUAAAAUGAUGGUGUCCAAAUGGCAGGUCAUUUUUUAAAAGUAGGACUCUUAAAUGCAUGUGACUUUUUGGAAGAAGAAAGAAGAUGAGAAGCAUUUAUGGGUCUCUGUGCUGAGGUCUGUCACAAACGCUACCCAAGUUAAACCCCAAGAAGUUCUAGGAGGUAGAUGCUAUUAUCCUCAUUGUAUAGAUCAGAAAAGGGAGAAUUAAAUAUUUUGUCAUGGCCAUGCAUCUUCUAAGUGGUAGAGACAAUAUUUGAAACAAAUUUACCUGACUUUGAAGCCUGGAUUCUUUCCUUUCACUGCACUGACUCUAAAGUGUAUUUGUUUUUGUGUUUGUAUGUGUGUGCGUGAGUAAACAUAGAGGAUACUAUCUGCUGUGUAA
rnacentral:lncRNA from 1 species